rnacentral:rRNA from 1 species
CCUACGGGAGGCAGCAGUAGGGAAUUUUCGUCAAUGGGGGGAACCCUGAACGAGCAAUGCCGCGUGAGUGAGGAAGGUCUUCGGAUCGUAAAGCUCUGUUGUAAGAGAAAAACGGCACUCAUAGGGAAUGAUGAGUGAGUGAUGGUAUCUUACCAGAAAGCCACGGCUAACUACGUGC